AACGCACAUUGCGCCUCCUGGUAUUCCGGGAGGCAUGCCUGUUCGAGCGUCACUAAAAUCAACUCGAGCACUUUCUGCACGGUCAUGGAGGAAGAGUCCGUCUUGUUGCGGUCUCCCCCCCGAAAAUCAGCGGCGGAAAGUCACUGGCACCUGGCGUAGUAGGUAUUGUUCGCUGUCCAACCAGUGUCGUUCCCGCCGGCAAACCCCCCACAAUUCUCUUGAUUGACCUCGGAUCAGGUAGGGAUACCCGCUGAACUUAA
rnacentral:misc_RNA from 2 species